rnacentral:misc_RNA from 1 species
AGAGUGUCUACGGUCUCCACAGUACUCAAACAUCAUGGAAUGGGAAUUUGACUCACUAGAAUAUCUUUCUUCUACUUUUUUUCAAUCCAAGCACAACGUUGAGUCAAUUAACAAAUAUUCUUGAGUUCACAUCAGCCAUUCAUCCAUCUUCCAAGAUGUAAUUCUAGAUAUAUUGUAUGCAUGUUGAUGUCGAUCAAAGCACAAU